rnacentral:rRNA from 1 species
CGGACGGGUGAGUAAUGUCUGGGAAACUGCCCGAUGGAGGGGGAUAACUACUGGAAACGGUAGCUAAUACCGCAUAACGUCGCAAGACCAAAGAGGGGGACCUUCGGGCCUCUUGCCAUCGGAUGUGCCCAGAUGGGAUUAGCUAGUAGGUGGGUUAACGGCUCACCUAGGCGACGAUCCCUAGCUGGUCUGAGAGGAUGACCAGCCACACUGGAACUGAGACACGGUUCAG